UGGGAACGCGAAGAACCUUACCAGGGCUUGACAUCCUACUAAUGAAGCAGAGAUGCAUUAAGUGCCCUUCGGGGAAAGUAGAGACAGGUGGUGCAUGGUUGUCGUCAGCUCGUGUCGUGAGAUGUUGGGUUAAGUCCCGCAACGAGCGCAACCCCUAUUGUUAGUUGCUACGCAAGAGCACUCUAGCGAGACUGCCGUUGACAAAACGGAGGAAGGUGGGGACGACGUCAAAUCAUCAUGCCCCUUAUGUCCUGGGCCACACACGUAAUACAAUGGCGUUAAACAGAGGGAUGCUAAGCCGUGAGGUGGAGCGAACCCCUAAAAGGCGUCUCAGUUCGGAUUGCAGGCUGCAACUCGCCUGCAUGAAGUCGGAAUCGCUAGUAAUCGCGGAUCAGAAUGCCGCGGUGAAUACGUCCCCGGGUCUUGUACACACCG
rnacentral:rRNA from 1 species